rnacentral:rRNA from 1 species
CACGUAGGCGGCCUUGUAAGUCUCACUGUGAAAGUCCGGGGCUCAACCUCGGGAUUGCAGGGGAUACUGCACGGCUUGAGACAAGUAGAGGUUGGUAGAAUUCCGGGUGUAGCGGUGGAAUGCGUAGAGAUCCGGAGGAAUACCAGAGGCGAAGGCGGCCAACUGGGCUUGUUCUGACGCUGAGGUGCGAAAGCGUGGGGAGCGAACAGGAUUAGAUACCCUGGUAGUCCACGCCGUAAACGAUGGGCACUAGAUGCCGGUGGGAACGACCCCAUCGGUGUCGAAGCUAACGCAUUAAGUGCCCCGCCUGGGGAGUACGGCCGCAAGGCUGAA